UUAAAUUGCUGUGGUAUUUUGACUAUAAAAAGUUUUUGAAAUAGGAUUUAAUUUGAAUGCUAAGAGAAUGGACUCUCAGAGAAAAACUUUUUUUAAAUUAAAAAUUGAAAUUUUUUUAAUUUGUGCAGAAACAAUUAUUAAUAUUAAGGACAAGAAGACCCUAUGAAUUUAUUAAAUUUCAUUCAAUAUGUAAUUACUAUUGAAGAAAUUUUGGCUGGGGCGGCUAAAAAAUAUUUUAAACUUUUUAAAAAUAAAAUGAUCCAUUAUUAAUGAUUAUAUGUUAAAUACUCUAGGGAUAACAGCGUUAUAUUUUUUGAUAGACCAUAUUGACAAAAAAGUUUGCGACCUCGAUGUUGGAUUAGGAUACUUUUUUAAUGCAGAUAUUAAAAAAAGAAGUUUGUUCAACUUUCAAUUUCCUACAUGAUCUGAGUUCAGACCGG
rnacentral:rRNA from 1 species